ensembl:lncRNA novel transcript
AUACUACUGCCUUCCUGGGGAGCCUCUCUUCUACAGAAACGUAAUUAGAAAUGCCUUACUUAAAAAGCUCCACUGGCUCCCUAAUGGAUCCAAUUUUUCAGGUGCCUCACCUGGGUCAUAGCCAGUGGAAAAAGGAAAGCUUAUGAUAUCUCUUGGUCUGGUAUUAAGAGGCCAGGCUGGAAAAGGAAGGCACCAUUUCCAUCAUAUUCUUCUGGAGAGAACUUAGUCUCAUCUUCUUCACAGAAGAUGGGGAAAGGUGGCCCAGCUGGUCAGCCCUGUGCCUGGCUGCAUUUCUGUUACUAUGGAAGGAGGGAAAAAGGAAAGCCAGCAGUGCAUGUCACGCUUACAUAAGCUCCCUCCAUCAGGAAACUUAAGACCAACUCCAUUUGAUCUGAUCAGAGGACGUCUAUAAGGACCAACACAGUGUCACAUUCAAAAGCAUCUUUCUCCCCCUCCAAUCAACCAGUGUCCUGGGGCCUUCUUACCUCUGGGACAGCAGGUAAGAAAAGAAACAACUUGCUGAGACUCUGACGCUGACAUCAAGAAAAACCUGGCUAGAAUCGGUGGAAACUAAGAUGGCUGACUGGAGUUUGCACAGAACAAGCUUGCUGGCGUCCCAGCCCGAAUUUCCACAUGUUUCAUACUAACUCCCCCCAAAUUCACACAUGUGACCCAUGAGAUAGCAGGAAGAAACAACUGGACAUGCGCAGGGCCUUCCCAGACCUCCUGUUUCCUUUCACCAGUUACCUAUAUAGUCUCAGAAUCUAACCCCUGAACCUUUUCUAAUAAAAAUACUGCUUGGAA